CCUACGGGUGGCAGCAGUGGGGAAUAUUGGGCAAUGGGCGCAAGCCUGACCCAGCAACGCCGCGUGAAGGAAGAAGGCUUUCGGGUUGUAAACUUCUUUUCAGAGGGAAGAACAGAAUGCCGUACCUCUUGGAUUAACCCCCGCUAACUAACUGGCAGCAGCCGCCGGAAUACGUAGGUGGGCAGCGUUGUCCGGAUUUACUGGGUGUAAAGGGGGUGCAGCCGGGAAGACAAGUCAGAUGUGAAAACCCGCGGCUCAACCCCGGAACUGCAUUUGAAACUGUUUUUCUUGAGUACCGGAGAGGUCAUCGGAAUUCCUUGUGUAGCGGUGAAAUGCGUAGAUAUAAGGAAGAACACCAGUGGCGAAGGCGGAUGACUGGACGGCAACUGACGGUGAGGCGCGAAAGCGUGGGGAGCAAACAGGAUUAGAUACCCGGGUAGUC
rnacentral:rRNA from 1 species